rnacentral:rRNA from 1 species
UGGGGGCAACCCUGAUCCAGCCAUGCCGCGUGUGUGAAGAAGGCUUUCGGGUUGUAAAGCACUUUCAGUGAGGAGGAAGGCCUUAAGGUUAAUACCCUUGAGGAUUGACGUUACUCACAGAAGAAGCACCGGCUAACUCCGUGCCAGCAGCCGCGGUAAUACGGAGGGUGCAAGCGUUAAUCGGAAUUACUGGGCGUAAAGCGCGCGUAGGUGGUUUGAUAAGCGAGAUGUGAAAGCCCCGGGCUUAACCUGGGAACGGCAUUUCGAACUGUCAGGCUAGAGUGUGGUAGAGGGUAGUGGAAUUUCCUGUGUAGCGGUGAAAUGCGUAGAUAUAGGAAGGAACACCAGUGGC